GUAGUAGCAAAUACUCUAACGAGACCCUUGAGGGCUGAUGUGGAGAAGGGUUUCGUGUGAACAGUUGUUGCACACGAGUCAGUCGAUCCUAAGCUCUAGGGGAAACCCGAUGCAUGCAGGCCGGCAGCCGCAUCGAGCGAAAGGGAAUCCGGUUCCUAUUCCGGAACCCGGUUGCGGAACCGUCUCACGUCGGGCCCCACCCUUAGGGGUGGCAGCUCGAUGGGGUAACCCAAACCAACCCGGAGAAGCCGUCUGGUGGUCGGGGAAGAGUUUUCUUUUCUGUUUGAGCGCUCGGGUUCCCUGGAAUUGUCUAGCACAGAGAUAGGGAAUGGAGCGCGUAGAGCACCGCAGUUGCGGCGGUGUCCCGACUUGCCCUACGGACCUUGAAAAUCCGGGGACGGGUGACGUGGAGGAUUCGCACCGGUUCGUACCCAUAUCCGCAGCAGGUCUCCAAGGUGAAGAGCCUCUAGUCGAUAGACUAAUGUAGGUAAGGGAAGUCGGCAAAUUGGAUCCGUAACUUCGGAAUAAGGAU
rnacentral:rRNA from 1 species